AAGUCGUAACAAGGUUUCCGUAGGUGAACCUGCGGAAGGAUCAUUACCGAGUACCGGGUCUCCGGGCCCCUACUCCCACCCUUUGUGUACCUACCUGUUUUUCGUUGCCUCGGCGGGGUAGAUCCCAGGGCCCCAGGCCCUGUGGGGACCCGUCGGGGGGACACGCCUAAACUCUUGUCAACGGUGUCGUCUGAGAACAAAACAAACUAGUCAAAACUUUCAACAACGGAUCUCUUGGCUCUG
rnacentral:misc_RNA from 1 species